rnacentral:piRNA from 1 species
UUCCACGCACGGCCUGAAGACUACGCAGU